rnacentral:rRNA from 1 species
GAGUUUGAUCCUGGCUCAGAUUGAACGCUGGCGGCAGGCCUAACACAUGCAAGUCGAACGGUAACAGAAAGCAGCUUGCUGCUUUGCUGACGAGUGGCGGACGGGUGAGUAAUGUCUGGGAAACUGCCUGAUGGAGGGGGAUAACUACUGGAAACGGUAGCUAAUACCGCAUAACGUCGCAAGACCAAAGAGGGGGACCUUCGGGCCUCUUGCCAUCGGAUGUGCCCAGAUGGGAUUAGCUUGUUGGUGGGGUAACGGCUCACCAAGGCGAUGAUCUCUAGCUGGUCUGAGAGGAUGACCAGCCACACUGGAACUGAGACACGGUCCAGACUCCUACGGGAGGCAGCAGUGGGGAAUAUUGCACAAUGGGCGCAAGCCUGAUGCAGCCAUGCCGCGUGUAUGAAGAAGGCCUUCGGGUUGUAAAGUACUUUCAGCGGGGAGGAAGGGAGUAAAGUUAAUACCUUUGCUCAUUGACGUUACCCGC